rnacentral:misc_RNA from 1 species
AGGCAAAUGCAAAAUCCUUGCAGAGCCGUCCCUUCCCUUUAGCUUCUGCAGCUGCCCGAGCUGGAACGUUCAUAGAAAGGGAGAGCUACGAUUGUUACCAAGUCAGAAAAUUGCAAUUAGGGUUUUUAUCUGAAAAUUUUGUUAUCUAUGGCUUCCUUUAUCCUCUCUAACCCUACUAUUUCCUCUCCUUUCCUCCCCCAGAAACUCACUAAUCAUGAGCAAAAUACUAGAAAUUCGACCACACUUUAUAGCCCUAUUUCAAGAAGCACUAGAACCCUUACAAGCGUUAAGUGUGCAGUGGAUGCACCUUAUGAAGGUAAUAUCCCAAAGUUCUCUAGAAUGAAUGUUUGGGAUCCUUAUAAGCGUCUUGGUAUCAGUCCUUAUGCUUCUGAGGAGGAAAUUUGGUCAUCACGGAAUUUUCUCUUAGAACAAUAUGCUGGACAUGAGAGAAGUGAAGAAUCGAUAGAGGCUGCUUUUGAGAAGCUGUUGAUGACCAGCUUUAAAGAAAGGAAGAAAACAAAAAUUAAUUUGAAAACCAGGCUAAAAAAGAAAGUGGAAGAGUCUCCUCCUUGGGUUAAGGCUUUACUCAAUUUUGUGGAACUUCCUCCAGUUGAAGUUAUUUUUAGAAGAUUAUUCCUCUUUGCAUUCAUGGGUGGCUGGAGUAUCAUGAAUUCUGCUGAAGGUGGACCUGCUUUUCAGGUGGCAGUGUCUUUGGCAGCUUGCAUAUAUUUCCUCAAUGAGAAGACAAAGAACUUGGGCAGAGCUUUCAUUAUUGGCCUUGGAUCUCUUGCAGCUGGGUGGGCAUGCGGCUCAAUAUUUGUUCCCGUGAUCCCAACAGUUCUAAUACACCCAACUUGGACACUCGAACUCCUGACUUCAUUGGUAGGAUAUCUUUUCAUGUUUGUGGCAUGUACUUUUCUCAAGUGAACUCACAACUGCUUGUCACUAAUGCUGGGAAUUGUACUCAAGUUAACUGCAUUUCUAUAUUUAUUUUAAUUCUCGUGUUCUUUUAUAGAAUUUGAAUGCCAUGAAGUUGGGAAAUCUAUGAUGCACCUUUAACCUUAUUCUUCUUAAAUUGUUUUCAUACUAGUGCUUGUUGAAGUGGCAGUAUAGUUAAAAUUUUAUGGUUAGCAUUUAUAUUGUAAGAUUGAAAGUUCUGUUGGCAUGUUGAUCACUUAGAUAUAUCAUGGCAAGGAUCUGAGAACUCUGGGGGGUUCCUGUUGGAAGCUCUGCAUACUGGUUCAUUAUUAACAUUUAUCAGUUAAUUAACUGCUAUUCACACUGGAUCAUUUGUGGAAAUAAGUCUCUCUCCAAAGGUUGUAAAGAAUUUUACAUGGUUUUAGAUCAAAAGAUAAGGAUAUUUUAGUUCUGAUGGAUUCACAAUUUCUCAACAAUAUUAAUGAGAAAUCGCAGAGGUUCUGUAAAUAGAGAUGGAUUCUUUAACUGAUAAGUUUCCUCUUAUGCCCAUCUGGGGCUAAAAAGAAACUGUGCUAUGCCUUUUAAAUAAAUGCUGCUGGUCAUAUGGGGACAGCCAUUGACUUGAGUAUCAUGUAUGGCCAUGGUGCGUUGGGAAACUCCUAUGCUCGCUCGUAGUAUGCGACUUCUAUGCUUGCUCACAGUAUGUGAGAUGCAAGAUUCUACAAUGCUUUAAAGAAAAUAGAGUGCGUUUUCAUUAUCUGCAAUUGUUUUUGAUAGAGAUGAUGGCACAUGAUUUUAAGAGCUCUCAAGUUAAAUAUGCUCAGAUUGAAGCAGCAUGAUGGAUUAAUAUUACAUCUGAGAUGCUGAUAAGAAAAUAAUUAUUUUAAAAAUAUUUAAUAAAUAGUUUUAAUUUUGUUUAAUUGAAUGUAUCAACAUGGCGGAACUGGGCUGGAACUUCAAUGUUCAUCACUGGAUGUAUCUAAUUUAACUAAAAUCUCGUUGUGAAAAUAAAGCUAAUGGAAAAAAAAAAUAA